rnacentral:pre_miRNA from 1 species
AGCUUUUUGAAUCCAUGCUGAGAUUCUCUCAGACAUCAACCCAUUAGGACUGAUCAGACUUCUAAGAUAAAUGGAGCU